rnacentral:lncRNA from 1 species
UGGAUGCGGUUUUCACCCUUAAAUGUUGAGUGUAAGCUAUAGAGCUGUAAUAACCAAAAUAACUGUGAUAAUAUCAGCUUUCUUGUUUUACCGAGUGUAUUGAAUAUUUCAGAAAAAUUAAUUACAAAUCACUUUAUUCUAAUUGGAAAUGUGAAAAUUUAGACUUUGGGAAAAAACCCACAAAACUUAGUUUAACCCUUUGGUUUCCACUUCAUUGUUUUGACUCUGUAUUAUAAUAAAUAUUGAAAAUAGAUCCUGGACAGCAGAACCAUAUACAUUAAUGUAAGGCCUGUCUAAUACCAAGGGCUAUCAUUAGACUCUUCGUAUCUUAGCUUCUGUUUCAGGAAGUGUUAUAUUGUUAAGACUGGACGUUGGUAUGGGCCUGAAUCAUUUACUUGUAU